GUUUAGUGCUCCGUUGCGGUAUGAGUGUAGUCGUGAACGUACCCUCCAUUGAGAAGUUCGUCAGUCACUCACACGGUAGCAAGCUGCAGAAUUUGAAGAGUUCUACUGCCGUUAUUCUUGUCUACAAUGAGAGAACUUCACUUUAAGGAUUGCUUUUGGAACAGGGAUUUCACCGGCACUGGGGGUUAUGACAGUAUCAUCCAGCACCUCAACGAUGGCAAGAAGACAUGCAAGGAGAUAGAAGACUUCAUGAAAGCCAGAGCAUCCAUAGAGGAGAAGUAUGCCAAAGAGCUACUGGGUCUCUCCAAGAAGGUGUGUGGGUGCAAUGAGAUGAACACACUGAAGAGAUCGUUGGAUGUGUUCAAACUGCAGACUGAACAUGUGAGUUUGUCACACCUACAACUGGCACAAACAAUGAGGGAUGAGGCAAAAAAACUUGAGGACUUCAGGGAGAGACAGAAAGAGGCAAGGAAAAAGGUUGAACAACAGAUGGAUGCCCUACACAAACAGAGGGCCACUCAGUUCAAGAAAACCAUGGAGUCAAAGAAGACAUAUGAGCAAAAGUGUCGAGACAAAGAGGAAGCAGAACAGAACAUGAACCGAAAUGCAAGCACCAGUAACGCCAAGCAGCAGGAAAAGCUAUUUGCAAGAACAAAUCAAGCAAAAAUGAAUGCAGAGGUAGCUGACAGGCUAUACAUGCAGAAUGUGACUGUGCUGGAAAAAAUCAGGGAGGACUGGCAGAAGGAGCAUGUCAAAGCAUGCGAGGGAUUUGAGAAGCAGGAAGUUGAGAGGAUCAACACUCUAAGGAACAUGGUGUGGACUCAUCUCAACCAGCUCUCCCAGCAGUGUGUCACCAGCGAUGAGCUAUAUGAGGAAGUGAGGAAGUCUCUUGAACAUUGCGACAUACAGGAGGACAUUGAACACUUUGUGAACCUCAGACGGACUGGGGAUAAACCACCAGCUCCUAUUCUGUAUGAUAACUUCUACAGCAGUCAGAGGGUCCCCAUAGCACCAUCAGUCACCCACAUGGCUCCAUCUAUCACCAGGAGACCAUUGCCUAAUCCAACCAACUCCGGAGGUGAUUUGAUCAACUCAUCUGCAUUAGACCCAGAUCGAACCUACAGUGUUAUACAAUACUAGCACACGGUUGUCUAUGGGUAUUGAUAUCGACUGCCUGGUGGAAUGCUGAGUGUGGAUCCCUUCAGUGAUGGCUGUAAAGAGUGGACUUUGUGCUUUGUGCAUUCAACAGUGACACCUUGACAAACUAAUUCAGAAACACCACCAACGCUGACGAGUUGCAUAGUUGACAUACAUCACAUUCAGAUAGAAGGUACCCAAACGCUGUACAUUAUGUAUUGUGUUUUUAGUCAGCUAAACAUGAGCUUUUAAACCCACCCCUCAGCUACUCUCAGUCCAUCUCACCUAUUUCCUUAAAUUGCCCUCUUAUGUUUUCCAUGUGCCGUAUAUUUUUCAACUGUGCUGUGAUGUUUCACAUCAAUUCUGAACCUUUCUAAUCGCAUAGUAUCUACAAAUUGUAAGUUAAAGAUUAAUAUUUUAAC